rnacentral:rRNA from 1 species
CCUACGGGUGACAGCAGUGAGGAAUAUUGGUCAAUGGACGCAAGUCUGAACCAGCCAUGCCGCGUGCAGGAAGACGGCUCUAUGAGUUGUAAACUGCUUUUGUACGAGGGUAAACGCAGAUACGUGUAUCUGUCUGAAAGUAUCGUACGAAUAAGGAUCGGCUAACUCCGUGCCAGCAGCCGCGGUAAUACGGAGGAUUCAAGCGUUAUCCGGAUUUAUUGGGUUUAAAGGGUGCGCAGGCGGAAGCGGCAAGUCAGCGGUAAAAUUGCGGGGCUCAACCUCGCCGAGCCGUUGAAACUGCUCUUCUAGAGUGGGCGAGAAGUAUGCGGAAUGCGUGGUGUAGCGGUGAAAUGCAUAGAUAUCACGCAGAACUCCGAUUGCGAAGGCAGCAUACCGGCGCCCAACUGACGCUCAUGCACGAAAGCGUGGGUAUCGAACAGGAUUAGAUACCCCGGUAGUC